rnacentral:rRNA from 1 species
AGUGAACGCUGGCGGUAGGCCUAACACAUGCAAGUCGAACGGCAGCACAGUAAGAGCUUGCUCUUACGGGUGGCGAGUGGCGGACGGUGAGGAAUACAUCGGAAUCUACUUUUUCGUGGGGGAUAACGUAGGGAAACUUACGCUAAUACCGCAUACGACCUACGGGUGAAAGCAGGGGAUCUUCGGACCUUGCGCGAUUGAAUGAGCCGAUGUCGGAUUAGCUAGUUGGCGGGGUAAAGGCCCACCAAGGCGACGAUCCGUAGCUGGUCUGAGAGGAUGAUCAGCCACACUGGAACUGAGACACGGUCCAGACUCCUACGGGAGGCAGCAGUGGGGAAUAUUGGACAAUGGGCGCAGGCCUGAUCCAGCCAUACCGCGUGGGUGAAGAAGGCCUUCGGGUUGUAAAGCCCUUUUGUUGGGAAAGAAAAGCAGCAGGUUAAUACCCCGCUGUUCUGACGGUACCCAAAGAAUAAGCACCGGCUAACUUCGUG